CCCCUCUCAGGUUCUCACCUGGAGAGUUUCCAGUACUCUACUAGUCCCGACUACAGGAUGGAGAGUCAAGCAGACACCCAUUCCAUUCCUAGCUUAGGCAGUGGCUAGCGAGUGGAAGGCAAUCUGCUACACCU